rnacentral:rRNA from 1 species
UACGUAGGGACCGAGCGUUGUCCGGAAUCAUUGGGCGUAAAGAGCGUGUAGGCGGCCUUUUAAGUCCUGCGUGAAAUCCUGCGGCUCAACCUCGAGACGCCGAUGGAAACCCCCCAGCUAGAGUCCGGAAGAGGAGAGUGGAAUUCCUGGUGUAGCGGUGGAAUGCGCAGAUAUCAGGAGGAACACCGGUGCGGAAGGCGGGUCUCUGGGCAGUACUGACGCUGAGAGCGAAAGCGUGGGGAGCGAACAGG